GACGAACGCUGGCGGCGUGCUUAACACAUGCAAGUCGAACGGAAAGGCCCUGCUUUUGUGGGGUGCUCGAGUGGCGAACGGGUGAGUAACACGUGAGUAACCUGCCCUUGACUUUGGGAUAACUUCAGGAAACUGGGGCUAAUACCGGAUAGGAGCUCCUGCUGCAUGGUGGGGGGUGGAAAUUUUCGGCGGUUGGGGAUGGACUCGCGGCUUAUCAGCUUGUUGGUGGGGUAGUGGCUUACCAAGCCUUUGACGGGUAGCCGGCCUGAGAGGGUGACCGGCCACAUUGGGACUGAGAUACGGCCCAGACUCCUACGGGAGGCAGCAGUGGGGAAUAUUGCACAGUGGGAGGAAGCCUGAUGAAGCAACGCCGCGUGCGGGAUGACGGCCUUCGGGUUGUAAAACGCUUUCGCCUGUGACGAAGCGUGAGUGACGGUAAUGGGUAAAGAAGCACCGGCUAACUACGUG
rnacentral:rRNA from 1 species